rnacentral:rRNA from 1 species
UACGUAGGGCGCAAGCGUUAUCCGGAUUUACUGGGUGUAAAGGGCGCGUAGGCGGGAUGGCAAGUCAGAUGUGAAAUCCAGGGGCUCAACCCCUGAACUGCAUUUGAAACUGUCGUUCUUGAGUACUGGAGAGGUUGACGGAAUUCCUAGUGUAGCGGUGAAAUGCGUAGAUAUUAGGAGGAACACCAGUGGCGAAGGCGGUCAACUGGACAGCAACUGACGCUGAGGCGCGAAAGCGUGGGGAGCAAACAGG